GACGAACGCUGGCAGCGUGCUUAACACAUGCAAGUCGAACGGUAAGGCCCUUCGGGGUACACGAGUGGCGAACGGGUGAGUAACACGUGGGUGAUCUGCCCUGCACUUCGGGAUAAGCCUGGGAAACUGGGUCUAAUACCGGAUAGGACCACUGCCUGCAUGGGUGGUGGUGGAAAGCUUUUGCGGUGUGGGAUGGGCCCGCGGCAUAUCAGCUUGUUGGGGGGGUGAUGGCCUACCAAGGCGACGACGGGUAGCCGGCCUGAGGGGGUGACCGGCCACACUGGGCCUGAGAUACGGACCAGCCUCCUACGGGAGGCAGCAGUGGGGAAUAUUGCACAAUGGGCGCAAGCCUGAUGCAGCGACGCCGCGUGAGGGAUGACGGCCUUCGGGUUGUAAACCUCUUUCAGCACCGACGAAGCGCAGGUGACGGUAGGUGCAGAAGAAGGACCGGCCAACUACGUGCCAGCCGCCGCCGUAA
rnacentral:rRNA from 1 species